UACGGAGGGUGCAAGCGUUAUCCGGAUUCACUGGGUUUAAAGGGUGCGUAGGUGGGCAGGUAAGUCAGUGGUGAAAUCUCCGGGCUUAACCCGGAAACUGCCAUUGAUACUAUCAGUCUUGAAUACCGUGGAGGUAAGCGGAAUAUGUCAUGUAGCGAUGAAAUGCUUAGAUAUGACAUAGAACACCAAUUGCGAAGGCAGCUUACUACCCGAAUAUUGACAC
rnacentral:rRNA from 1 species